rnacentral:tRNA from 1 species
UCCCCAGUGGCGCAAUUGGUUAGCGCGCGGUACUUAUAAUGCCGAGGUUGUUAGUUCGAUCCUCACCUGGGGAA